AUGUAAAAAAGAAGAAAAAAAGGUUUCCGGUAUUUCGAUUUGAAGGGUGUAUAUAUAUAUAUAUAUAUAUAUAUAUAUAUAUAUAUAUGGUUAAAAAAGCUUUGAGACAGUCAUUCUUCUGAUGUGUCAAGAUGCGUGCCUGCCUUUUUCUGUUGUGGAGUACUCUCUCAGCUACUUGGACAAACCAAAUAAUUGUGACCCAGACACCUGGUGUGGUGAAGAUGAUAGCCAGUGGCACGGUGACUUUGAAGUGCCACGUUGAUCAGAUUCUCGCCUUUUGCCACUCAGUGACUUGGAUGAAAGUAGACGCCAGGACUGGAACAAUGAGCACAAGAACUAACGUAAAGAUUAAUACGACAUCUGAGGUAGGGAAACGGGACAGAGUAUGUUCGGCAACCAUCACCAACGCAUUAGUGAGCGACUCUGGCAUGUACUACUGUUUGGCUGUUCACUCCAAGGCGGUCCACACUGGCAACGGAUCCAAUCUAAUCGUCACAGAGAGCAGCACUGAAUCCCCAAACAUCAAAAUCGUCUCAUCAGACAGCGACGGCUCCUCCGCCGCUCUGCUGUGUUUGGUGUCUGGAGUGGUCCCGUCUCAAGUCCAUGUGUUCUGGCUCAUAGACGGGAGAGAGGACAGUGGACUUACUGAGUCCACCUGGACAGACAACAGUGAUUCAGCCACAGAGUUCACUAGGAACCAGAUUCUGGUCAAAGCAGAGGAGUGGGACAGAGGAGCAGAAUGCACGUGUGUGGUAGAGUUCGAAGGGCAGUACAUCAACAAAACCGUGCAACACAAUGAUUUCUCCACAAUGUGUUACACCAUAGUGAGUCUCUACAGGGUUCUGGGAAUUGUGUCCGCUCUUCUUCUUCUCCUUACACUGAUUGCACGGGUACAGCUAUCCUGCAGGAGCAACAAUUCAGGUAAGAGGUAUUUUUGUAUGAUAGUUCAUUAUAUACUGAACAAAAAUAUAAACGCAACAUACAACAAUUUUAACGAUUUUACUGAGUUACAGUUCAUAUAA
ensembl:lncRNA